rnacentral:tRNA from 1 species
CCCAGCAUGGUGUAGUGGUUUGAAUGUUGGACUGGGAUUCUGGAGAGCAGGGUUUGAAUCCCUGCUUUGCCA